UAAGGAUGUUUACAUAGGAAAGCAAAGGGAAAUUUGCUUACUGUUCAGAAUAGUAAAGGAUACAAUGCAGCUGAGAAGGACUGUGCUUGCCAAGCUCCUACGUGGACGGUCCCUGAAGUGAGCCCGCGUACCUCCCGUCCUCUGGGGACAAAAGGCAACGCUUCGGAGGCCAUGGCUCACCGCGGGCUCGCUCGGAGCAACAGAUCAGUGAUGCUUUUCUCAGGAAGAUUUCCUCCUCGCGUCACACCGCUGCUGCUAUUAGUGGUUAUUGGGGACCAGGGAGAAAAAGACAUAGCACUCGCCAUAAAGCGUAAGGAAUCUAAUGGAACAGACUCUGGCUUCUGUACUGAAUAAGCUGGCUGUCUAUUCCCCAAGUUCUCAGUAAAACUCCCGUAUAUGAAGACUCUCAAAAGCCCAGCAGCUGACUGUUACUCGGAGACGGAGCUCUACCCAAAGGCAAGAGGAAAGCCUAAGGCCAGCAUCAAGACUAAAAUGACAACAGCAGGUAGACUAUGAAAUUAACCUGUUAUGGAGGACCGACUACUCAGGGUAUGCAGUAUCUUUAAAAGUCAGAAGAUGAUACAAAAAUAAUAUUGGUUAAAUUUUUUAACCCAUCAAUUAGUUCUGGCCCCACCUUCCCACUGACUGCAUUUUAUUCUCAGGCAAUGGCACCAGCUGCUGUCAGCUGAUAGCUCAGCUUUGGGUUUCAGUAUUUUUGUUUUUAGUAAUACAGAUUGCACUGGUAUAAGGAGAUUAACAUGAUUACUUUAGAAACAUCAGAUGCUGUAAUUCUGAUCAAGAAUGUUUGAAAGACAAUAAUAAAGAUGCAGAGAAAGAGACUAAA